UGGGGAAUAUUGCACAAUGGGGGAAACCCUGAUGCAGCGACGCCGCGUGAGUGAAGAAGUAUUUCGGUAUGUAAAGCUCUAUCAGCAGGGAAGAGAAUGACGGUACCUGAGUAAGAAGCCCCGGCUAACUACGUGCC
rnacentral:rRNA from 1 species